UAGCUAAAACCAGAAAAGAAACUCUGUGAUGUUCCUUAAUAAGUUAAUUUAAAUAAGUAUUUCACAGUCUAUUAAUUGUAAGAAGCAUGCAUUACUCUGCAUUUAGAUGAAAGUGGGUAGUAUUUUCUUUAACAAAAUACAAAAUCAUAUGAUGUGUUUUUGUGACUGGUCAUCAGCAGUGUUCCAGGGAUUGAACUUGUACGCAUUUUGAAGAAAAAUACUCUUCUGAGCAAUCACCUCAAUAUGUGGAAUCUGGAAAAUUUCUUCUGCUACAAAGAGGAAAAAUGAACAUUUCCUGUUUGUCAUCUUUAGUACAUGUUGUCUUUUUAGACAACAAUAGUCAGGAACAAUAGGCUGGCAGUCAUUCAAUAUGAGCUAAGAAAAAACUGUGCCCCUGGAAGGCUGGGCUGAGUCAGCCUAAAGCUGCUAUGAUCUAAAUUACUAGGUGGACUCGGGAACAAGGUUCAAGCAGCAGACAUCCAUGUCUUCAACCUUUGAUGUUUCUUGACCUUUGAGUACCCUUUGUAUUUCAUGUUUGUAUGUGUAAGAGCAGCGCUUAGGUCAUACAGUUAUUCCCUUGUUUGCACCUGAGCUGGAUUUGAAAUAUUCUCAUUGUAUCUACGCAAAACUACGAGGGGAGAAGUGAAAGAGCAAGCCAGGUGUAUUCCUGGAUUAUCAAAAGAGUAAUAGGCAAUUCUAGCGGAUGUUCUUUACGGUUCUACCAGCAUCUGCAAAGCACUAGGAUCCUGAGCUACAAGAAGCAUAAGCCCCAGAAAAAGUGUUUCGUCAAAUAGCACCAAGAAACAGCUUGUCUCCAUGAACACCACUGAAAAAGUAACACUGGUAACAUUUUGACGCAGUGGGUAAGAGGAAAUUUCAAAACAAAAAUCACUAUUUUUCCCUUGCAGUAAUUUAAUAGAAAACUGAAAAGCUACUAUUAUUUAACAGGCAGUAACAAUUCAUGCCAAACUCUAUUAAGUCUUUGUAAAUGUGUAUUUCUUGAACCUUGGUAAAUUCACCAAUUAUUAAACAGUCAUCAACCUGCCCACUUUAACAUAUAUCUCAAUGGUUUAUUUUGAAUAACUGGAUUUAAAUAUUUUAUAUGGGUUUAUGCUUAUUUAACAUUAAUUAAUUGCCCUUUAGUAACCUUUAGUAUAGUGGACAGCCAAAAUCAGAGUUGUUUGGUUCUGACAGUCACACUCUGAGCAACACUUUUAUGGCUGUUAAUGACAUUAAACCCUAAACAGCUGCCAGAAAUCCUGACCACCUGUACAAAGGGGAAAAUCAUGUGCCUGCACUCCAUCCAUUCCAGUUCCCACAUCCAUGUCAGCAUACACACACUGUCUGGCAGGAGGUGGAAGGAAUGGGAGCAUGAACUUCCAGCACAGCUGUAGGCAGAAACCUGCAACAAGGGAACAUUUGUCGAGUGUCCUGGCAGUCUGCCGGUACGUAGGUGGCCAUCCUAGAUCUGCCUAGGGCAGCAAAAAAAAUUCUGCCAGGGCUGUCACAGCACCUGCCUAAACCAGGAGUUCACUGAAUUUAUGUGAACUAGGAAACGAGGGGGGAGCAAGGGAAGGGCAUCCUUACACGGGUAUGUAACUAACUGACGCUUUCCGUGUUGCUUACAGGAAGCACAAAAGUAUUCGAACGCAGGCUUUCCAAAAACUGGUUCACUCUGAAGAUGCUAAAUGUUCUGUGAUUCUUGAAUUUUAUUUCUAAACUGUUUUAUCACCAAAAAACUGUCACAGGGACCAUUUGUUUGUGUCUGUGUACCCAGACAAACAAGUAGUCUGGGAGAAACUGAGAGGGGGAAAUUUGAGGAAGGACUUCCCUACCCUUCGGGUCAUCUUCCUGAAUGGCUUUCAAUAGGCAAAUAGAAAUGUAAAAAGAAAUUGCAUGACUAAGGCAACAGUUUGGGUGUAGCCUUUCAUGCAUAGGAGUGGGGAAGAGGUUGCUAACCAAAAAAACCAAAGUAAAACUUCAAACCCAGAUACUUUAAAUACAGGUAUCC